rnacentral:rRNA from 1 species
GGGCCCGCACAAGCGGAGGAACAUGUGGUUUAAUUCGAUGAUACGCGAGGAACCUUACCUGGGCUUGAAAGGGGAAUGACCUCCCGGGAAACCGGGAUUCUCUUCGGAGCAUUCUCCUAGGUGCUGCAUGGUUGUCGUCAGCUCGUGCCGUGAGGUGUCGGGUUAAGUCCCAUAACGAGCGCAACCCCUAUUGUUAGUUGCCAGCGGGUAAUGCCGGGAACUCUAACGAAACUGCCGGUGUAAACCGAGAGGAAGGUGGGGAUGACGUCAAAUCAGCACGGCCCUUAUGUCCAGGGCUACACACGUGUUACAAUGGCCGGUACAAAGGGCAGCUACUUGGUGACAAGAUGCUAAUCUCUAAAACCGGUCUCAGUUCGGAUCGAAGUCUGCAACUCGACUUCGUGAAGCUGGAUUCGCUAGUAAUCGCGCAUCAGCAACGGCGCGGUGAAUACGUUCCCGGGCCUU